rnacentral:misc_RNA from 1 species
GAUGAAGAACGUAGCGAAAUGCGAUACGUAAUGUGAAUUGCAAAUUCAGUGAAUCAUCGAGUCUUUGAACGCACAUUGCGCCCCCUGGUAUUCCGGGGGGCAUGCCUGUCCGAGCGUCAUUGCUGCCCUCAAGCACGGCUUGUGUGUUGGGCCCCGUCCUCCGAUCCCGGGGGACGGGCCCGAAAGGCAGCGCCGGCACCGCGUCCGGUCCUCGAGCGUAUGGGGCUUUGUCACCCGCUCUGUAGGCCCGGCCGGCGCUUGCCGAUCAACCCAAAUUUUUUAUCCAGGUUGACCUCGGAUCAGGUAGGGAUACCCGCUGAACUUAAGCAUAUCAAUAAGCGGAGGA